UGAACCAUGUGGUCACGCUGAUUGAGGA
rnacentral:piRNA from 1 species